rnacentral:rRNA from 1 species
UACGAAGGGGGCUAGCGUUGUUCGGAAUUACUGGGCGUAAAGCGCACGUAGGCGGGUCGUUAAGUCAGGGGUGAAAUCCCGGAGCUCAACUCCGGAACUGCCUUUGAUACUGGCGAUCUAGAGGUCGAGAGAGGUGAGUGGAAUUCCGAGUGUAGAGGUGAAAUUCGUAGAUAUUCGGAAGAACACCAGUGGCGAAGGCGGACUCACUGGCUCGAUACUGACGCUGAGGUGCGAAAGCGUGGGGAGCAAACAGG